rnacentral:misc_RNA from 1 species
GAUGAAGAACGUAGCGAAAUGCGAUAAGUAAUGUGAAUUGCAGAAUUCAGUGAAUCACCGAAUCUUUGAACGCACAUUGCGCCCGCCAGCAUUCUGGCGGGCAUGCCUGUUCGAGCGUCAUUUCAACCCUCGAGCCCCCCCGGGGGCCUCGGUGUUGGGGGACGGCACACCAGCCGCCCCCGAAAUGCAGUGGCGACCCCGCCGCAGCCUCCCCUGCGUAGUAGCACACACCUCGCACCGGAGCGCGGAGGCGGUCACGCCGUAAAACGCCCAACUUUCUUAGAGUUGACCUCGGAUCAGGUAGGAAUACCCGCUGAACUUAAGCAUAUCAAUAAGCGGAGGA